AGUCGAGGGGAAACGACAUCGAAAGCUUGCUUUUGAUGGGCGUCGACCGGCGCACGGUUGAGUAACGCGUAUCCAACCUGCCCACCACUUGGGAAUAACCUUGCGAAAGUAAGACUAAUACCCAAUGACGUCUCUAGAAGACAUCUGAAGGAGAUUAAAGAUUUAUCGGUGAUGGAUGGGGAUGCGUCUGAUUAGCUUGUUGGCGGGGUAACGGCCCACCAAGGCGACGAUCAGUAGGGGUUCUGAGAGGAAGGUCCCCCACAUUGGAACUGAGACACGGUCCAAACUCCUACGGGAGGCAGCAGUGAGGAAUAUUGGUCAAUGGACGAGAGUCUGAACCAGCCAAGUAGCGUGCAGGAUGACGGCCCUAUGGGUUGUAAACUGCUUUUAUAAGGGAAUAAAGUGAGCCUCGUGAGGCUUUUUGCAUGUACCUUAUGAAUAAGGACCGGCUAAUUCCGUGCCAGCAGCCGCGGUAAUACGGAAGGUCCGGGCGUUAUCCGGAUUUAUUGGGUUUAAAGGGAGCGUAGGCCGGAGAUUAAGCGUGUUGUGAAAUGUAGACGCUCAACGUCUGCACUGCAGCGCGAACUGGUUUCCUUGAGUACGCACAAAGUGGGCGGAAUUCGUGGUGUAGCGGUGAAAUGCUUAGAUAUCACGAAGAACUCCGAUUGCGAAGGCAGCUCACUGGAGCGCAACUGACGCUGAAGCUCGAAAGUGCGGGUAUCGAACAG
rnacentral:rRNA from 1 species